rnacentral:rRNA from 1 species
GAUGAACGCUGGCGGCGUGCCUAAUACAUGCAAGUCGAGCGAAUGGAUUAAGAGCUUGCUCUUAUGAAGUUAGCGGCGGACGGGUGAGUAACACGUGGGUAACCUGCCCAUAAGACUGGGAUAACUCCGGGAAACCGGGGCUAAUACCGGAUAACAUUUUGAACCGCAUGGUUCGAAAUUGAAAGGCGGCUUCGGCUGUCACUUAUGGAUGGACCCGCGUCGCAUUAGCUAGUUGGUGAGGUAACGGCUCACCACGGCAACGAUGGGUAGCCCGGCUGGGGGGGUGAUCGGCCACACGGGGACUGAGACACGGCCCAGACUCCUACGGGAGGCAGCAGUAGGGAAUCUUCCGCAAUGGACAAAAGUCUGACGGAGCAACGCCGCGUGAGGGAUGAAGGCUUUCGGGUCGUAAAACUCUGUUGUUAGGGAAGACCAAGUGCUAGUUGAAUAAGCUGACACCUUGACGGUACCUAACCAGAAAGCCACGGCUAACUACGUGCCAGCAGCCGCCGUAA